CGUAGGUGGCAAGCGUUAUCCGGGAUUUAUUGGGCGGUAAAGACGAGCGCAGGCGGUUGCUUAGGUCUGAUGUGAAGACCUUCGGCUUAACCGAAGAAGUGCAUCGGAAACCGGGACGACUUGAGUGCAGAAGAGGACAGUGGAACUCCAUGUGUAGCGGUGGAAUGCGCAGAUAUAUGGAAGAGCACCAGUGGCGAAGGCGGCUGUCUGGUCUGCAACUGACGCUGAGGCUCGAAAGCAUGGGUAGCGAACAGGAUU
rnacentral:rRNA from 1 species